rnacentral:rRNA from 1 species
AGUACGUGAAACUGAUUAGAGGUUAAGCCCGAUGAACCUGAAUAUCCGUUAUGGAAAAUUCAUCACUAAUAAUAUGAUAUUUAUAAUAUUAUAUAAAUAGUGUGCAAUUUUUCCAUAUAAGGACAUUGUAAUCUGUUAAUGUAAUAAAUAUUUAUCAAAAGAUCCAUUACUUAAGUUUAAUCAAAUUAGUUAUUUUCGGAUUUCUAACAUAGAUUAAAUGUUUUGGAUUUGAUAAAUCAUUGACAGAUAUAAUUAUAUAAUGUGCUUAAAUUCUUCGGAAUUUUACAAUGGUAAAUUAAUCUAUUGAUUUUUUUAUUAAAUUGUAUGCACUAUUAUGAUUAACAAUGCGAUAGAUUCAGGAUACCUUCGGGACCCGUCUUGAAACACGGACCAAGGAGUCUAACAUAUGUGCAAGUCAUUGGGUAUUUUUAAUAAAACCCAAUGGCGUAAUUAACUUAACUGUUAUAAUGGGAUUAGUUUAUAUUUUGUUAUGAAAUAUCGAAUUCAAUCCCGGGGCGUUCUAUACAGUUAUGCAUAAUAAUAUUUAUAUUGUUUAUGCCUCUAACUAGAGCGUACCUUGAGC